rnacentral:snRNA from 1 species
GUGCUCAUUUUGGCAGCACAUAUGGUAAAAUUGGAACGAUACGGAGAAGAUUAGCAUGGCCCCCGUGCAGGGAUGACACGGAAAUUCGUGAAGCAUUCUGUAUUAAA